GCAAUAUGCAGAGAGAAAGGACUUUCUGUAAGAAGUUGAAAGCUAUGAAGAAUAUAAGCCAGGAGUGAAGUGUUCGGAUUAACUGUGAGGACAAAGAACUGUAGGUGUUGACUGGAAAGAGUGGACUCUGCUUCCCAAAGUUCUCAAUACUGUAUGGAAUGAUUUUAUGCAGAUGGAGCAGAUUUCACCCAAGGGGAGAAGCCAUCACAAUGCAUGCCUCUCCAAAGAGUAUGCCCUAGCUUCCUAUUUGCAAGCUAAAUAUUGCUUAUCAAUUAUUAACAUUCAGGAAAAGAACAGCAGAUGAGGAUAUUUGUGGACAAAGUGGAUCAAGAAUCAGUCAUCACGCAGCAAUUGGUUUCACACAUCGUUUCACUUUCAGUGAAUUCUAUUGUGUUCAGGCCAUGUUAGCGACAAAGAAUGUCAGUGCGUCUGAAAGAAAACCAUGCCAAUCCAACUUCAAUCCUGCUCAGCACAGCAAUACGUAUGUUUGAGAGAACCAAUUUUAUUUUAGAUAUGAAGUGUGUUUAUGCAUUAAUAUCAUAUUUUUGUAGUCACAUCUGCAAAAUUUAAAACAAAUUUGAGUGAAACAUCUCAGAAAAUUAAGCAUAUAAACAUCUGCAGGACUAAAAAAUGCUACAAAAACAUGUACUUAAUAUGAACAGGAUGAUUGAUAUGCAAAACAGUUUAGAUGUUAUAAAGUCCAGGUCCAGUUUUCUGGCUUCAUUCAGCUUUGAAAUAAACAAAAAUGUACAGGUGUGCUCUAGCUUUUCUCAGUGACACAGAAACUAGGAAUGGAUUCAGCAUUUAUCACCAUUUAUAGGUCUCCACCCAUAUGCAGUGAAUGGCUCAUACCUUGGGAACUUUGAAUGAUGUAGUUCAGGAUGUGGCUUCUGGAUUGGGAUCCAUUUUUGGCUACUAAUCUUCAUGAAAUAUAUGCAAAAUCCUUGUCAUUUUAAAGCUUGUCUUACCAAGAUUGCUGUGGCAGUGAGUGAGGUUCUCAUUCCAUAUGAACUUAUCCCAAAAAAUGUCAUUGACUGGAUCACAGGUUGGUGCUUAGCAGGAAGAAAGCCAGACUAUUUAAUGUUAAAUUCCUGUAUUGAUCUAAAAAACUUGAAUGUUCAGUUUGUUUCUUUCAACAUGUAAUUUGAUUGUAUAAGAAAGAGGUGCCUUUCGUAGAUAUAUGGGCCAUAACAAAAGCACAAGCAGACAAAAAGUGUAUAUCAGAAGUGGAUUUUUUACAAGCAUUUUCACCAAACUGCUGUUUCUGUUUAUCUGAUUCCUAAAAAGUUUUAAGUAAGUUAAAAAAAAAUGUUUCUACUAUGUUGCUCAUGC
ensembl:lncRNA